ACACGGAGGAUGCAAGCGUUAUCCGGAUUUAUUGGGUUUAAAGGGUGCGUAGGCGGAUGAUUAAGCGUGAGGUGAAAUGCCACUGCUCAACAGUGGAACUGCCUCGCGAACUGGUUGUCUUGAAUGCUCCUGCCGUGGGAGGAAUGUGUGGUGUAGCGGUGAAAUGCAUAGAGAUCACACAGAACACCGAUUGCGAAGGCAUCUCACGAAGGGGUGAUUGACGCUGAGGCACGAAAGCGUGGGGAUCAAACAGGAUUAGAUACCCUGGUAGUCCACGCAGUAAACGAUGAUAACUAACCGCUGGGUCGUAGUGAUUCAGUGGCCAAGCGAAAGCGAUAAGUUAUCCACCUGGGGAGUACGACCGCAAGGUUGAAACUCAAAUGAAUUGACGGGG
rnacentral:rRNA from 1 species